UACGGAGGGUGCAAGCGUUAUCCGGAUUUACUGGGUUUAAAGGGUGCGUAGGUGGACUAAUAAGUCAGUGGUGAAAGCCCGGAGCUCAACUCCGGAACUGCCAUUGAUACUGUUAGUCUUGAGUACAGUUGAGGUGGGCGGAAUGUGUCAUGUAGCGGUGAAAUGCUUAGAUAUGACACAGAACACCGAUUGCGAAGGCAGCUCACUAAGCUAUAACUGACACUGAGGCACGAAAGCGUGGGGAGCAAACAGG
rnacentral:rRNA from 1 species